GUCAGUUUGGCCGAGUGGUCUAAGGCGAUAGACUAGAAAUCUAUUGGGGUCUCCCCGCACAGGUUCAAAUACUGUAGCUGACG